rnacentral:rRNA from 1 species
GACGAGCCUCACAAACGUUAUUCGGAAUCACUGGGCUUAAAGGGUGCGUAGGCGGUCGGGUAAGUUUGAUGUGAAAUCUCCGGGCUUAACCCGGAAACUGCAUUGAAUACUAUUCGGCUUGAGGUCUGGAGGGGGGACUGGAAUUCUCGGUGUAGCAGUGAAAUGCGUAGAUAUCGAGAGGAACACCAGUGGCGAAGGCGAGUCCCUGGACAGGUCCUGACGCUGAGGCACGAAAGCUAGGGGAGCAAACAGG